CAACUUCACAAUAUUCAAAAAUCAUUUUUUUCGUCUUCUCCAUCAAUUCGAAAUCUUGAAUCUUAAAUCUGUUGUCGUAGAUGAUUGGACAAAUGAUUCACGAUUUUGAAUCAUUAAUUCAAAAUCGUUAAUAUAAUUAAUCGUUGAGUAAUUUGAAGUCAAUGUAUCACAAAAAUCUGAUUGAACAACCUUGGUUGUUGCUACCAUUGCUAACAAGAUCUCUCUGCCAACUAGUAUGUUUUUAUCCCCUUUUUUCAUCUUUCCUUUAUUAACAUUUAUUUAAUUUGAUUUUGGAAAGUCAUUCAAUUACUUGUUCAGAGAAAUUAAUGAAAUCGAGAAGAAAUUAUUGGCGAAAUCAUGAAAAAGAACUGGAAACCAAUCAGAUCGAUAUAAAGAACAAUUCCCCAAUUGUUGAUCUUUCUAUGGGGAUUUUAGAGACACCUUAUUCAGAAAUGUCCAAAAAAUGAUUCUUUAUCAAGACAAAUGUUUGGUUACUCCUAGAUCUAUUGAGAAUUUAUUGAUGGGACAAGUUAAGACUUUGUUGCAAAAGGUUGAAGAAGACAUUUUUUCUUUGUCAUUUUGAUGUUAAAAUGUAAGUCAUGAUACAUUGGCAGUAAACGACGCCGUAUAUUGUAAUUUUGAAUCUAUGAAUUAUGACGUGGUCAUUUUUUUUGUAUCUGAAUAUGAUUUGUAUAAAAAUGUAUCAUUAUAAUAUAUUGUAUAGGAUACAUGUAA
rnacentral:lncRNA from 1 species